UACGGAGGGUGCAAGCGUUGUUCGGAUUUACUGGGCGUAAAGCGCGCGCAGGUGGGUGAACAAGUCGGAAGUGAAAUCUUGAGGCUCAACCUCGAGGCUGCUCCCGAAACUGUUCGCCUAGGGACUGGUAGAGGCUGGUAGAGUUCCCGGUGUAGCGGUGAAAUUCGUAGAUAUCGGGAGGAACACCAGUGGCGAAGGCGGCGAUCUGGGUUGAUACUGACGCUGAGGUGCGAAAGCGUGGGGAGCAAACAGG
rnacentral:rRNA from 1 species